AUUGAACGCUGGCGGCAUGCUUUACACAUGCAAGUCGAACGGUAACAGGCCGUAAGGUGCUGAGGAGAGGCGAACGGGUGAGUAAUGCGACGGAACGUGGCCAGUCGUGGGGGAUAACGCAGCGAAAGCAGUGCUAAUACCGCAUACGAUCUAUGGAUGAAAGCGGGGGACCGUAAGGCCUCGCGCGAUUGGAGCGGCCGAUGUUAGAUUAGAUGGUUGGUGGGGUAAAUGCUCACCAAGCCAACGAUCUGUAGCUGGUUUGAGAGGACGACCAGCCACACUGGGACUAAGACACGGCCCAGACUCCUACGGGAGGCAGCAGUGGGGAAUUUUGGACAAUGGGCGCAGGCCUGAUCCAGCAAUGCCGCGUGCAGGAAGGAGGCCUUCGGGUUGUAAACUGCUUUUGUACGGAACGAAACGGCGAGCUCUAAUACAGUUUGCUAAUGACGGUACCGUAAGAAUAAGCACCGGCUAACUACGUGCCAGCAGCCGCAGUAA
rnacentral:rRNA from 1 species